AACGAACGCUGGCGGCAUGCCUAACACUUGCAAGCGGAACAAAGCAUGCGGUUGUGGUGCCGCCAGGUUACGUACGCCUUGGAACCGUGCCCUAGAAUUCGAAAGACCAGCCGGAAAUGGUUCCUAAUAGCGAAUAGUGAAUUCGGCCCAAAAAUUUCUCGCAUUUGGAGGGGCCGGCGUGGGAUAGCCUAGUUGGUAGGGUAAAAGCCUCCCAAGGCGACGAGCCAUAUCUGGCCGGAGAGGAUGAUCAGCCACACUGGGACUGAGACACGGCCCAGACUCCUACGGAAGGCAGCAGUGGGGAAUAUUGGACAAUGGCCGAAAGCCUGAUCCAGCAAUGCCGCGUGAGCCAUGAAGCUGUUAGGGUUGUAAAGCUUUUUUAUCCGGGAUGAUAAUGACAGUACCGGGAGAAUAAGCUCCGGCUAACUCCGUG
rnacentral:rRNA from 1 species